rnacentral:rRNA from 1 species
AUUGAACGCUGGCGGCAGGCCUACCACAUGCAAGUCGAGCGAACGGCGGACGGGUGAGUAAUGUCUGGGAAACUGCCUGAUGGAGGGGGGUAAAUACUGGAAACGGUAGCUAAUACCGCAUACCCUCAGAUUUUCCCAGAUGGGGUUAGGUAGUAGGUGGGGUAACGGCUCCCCUAGGCGACGAUCCCUAGCUGGUCUGAGAGGAUGACCAGCCACACUGGAACUGAGACACGGUCCAGACUCCUACGGGAGGCAGCAGUGGGGAAUAUUGCACAAUGGGCGCAAGCCUGAUGCAGCCAUGCCGCGUGUGUGAAGAAGGCCUUCGGGUUGUAAAGCACUUUCAGCGGGGAGGCGUUACCCGCAGAAGAAGCACCGGCUAACUCCGUGCCAGCCGCCGCGGUAAUAC